rnacentral:rRNA from 1 species
AGUCACGCUGUAAACGAUGUCGAUUUGGAGUUUGGGGGCAUGACCCUUGGGCUCGGAGCUAACGCGUUAAAUCGACCGCUGGGGAGUACGGCCGCAAGGUUAAAACUCAAAUGAAUUGACGGGGGCCCGCACAAGCGGUGGAGCAUGUGGUUUAAUUCGAUGCAACGCGAAGAACCUUACCUGGUCUUGACAUCCAUAGAAUCUUUCAGAGAUGAGAGAGUGCCUUCGGGAGCUAUGAGACAGGUGCUGCAUGGCUGUCGUCAGCUCGUGUUGUGAAAUGUUGGGUUAAGUCCCGCAACGAGCGCAACCCCUAUCCUUUGUUGCCAGCACGUAAUGGUGGGAACUCAAAGGAGACUGCCGUUGAUAAAGCGGAGGAAGGUGGGGACGACGUCAAGUCAUCAUGGCCCUUACGACCAGGGCUACACACGUGCUACAAUGGCGUAUACAAAGGGAUGCGAAGGUGCGAACUGGAGCGGACCUCACAAAGUACGUCUAAGUCCGGAUUGGAGUCUGCAACUCGACUCCAUGAAGUCGGAAUCGCUAGUAAUCGUGAAUCAGAAUGUCACGGUGAAUACGUUCCCGGGCCUUGUACACACCGCCCGUCACACCAUGGGAGUGGGUUGCACCAGAAGUAGAUAGCUUAACCUUCGGGAGGGCGUUUACCACGGUGUGGUUCAUGACUGGGGUGAAGUCGUAACAAGGUAACCA